AGCGAACGCUGGCGGCAGGCUUAACACAUGCAAGUCGAGCGGGCAUCUUCGGGUGUCAGCGGCGGACGGGUGAGUAACGCGUGGGAACGUGCCUUCUGGUUCGGAAUAACUCAGGGAAACUUGAGCUAAUACCGGAUACGCCCUUUUGGGGAAAGGCUUACUGCCGGAAGAUCGGCCCGCGUCUGAUUAGCUAGUUGGUGGGGUAACGGCCUACCAAGGCGACGAUCAGUAGCUGGUCUGAGAGGAUGAUCAGCCACACUGGGACUGAGACACGGCCCAGACUCCUACGGGAGGCAGCAGUGGGGAAUGUUGGACAAUGGGGGCAACCCUGAUCCAGCCAUGCCGCGUGAGUGAUGAAGGCCUUAGGGUUGUAAAGCUCUUUUAUCCGGGACGAUAAUGACGGUACCGGAGGAAUAAGCCCCGGCUAACUUCGUGCCAGCAGCCGCCGCUG
rnacentral:rRNA from 1 species